GUGUCUCAUUCUCAUCUUUAGCUUACAUAGACCUAACAUUAGACUUAAUUUACUUGUUGCAAAAUAUUGUUUUUAACUUGCAUUGUUUCGAAAUUAGCUUCAUGUAGCACCGAGGCUUAAAUACUAUUUCUUAAUAUAGUAUAGUUAAUUAUUUUUAAGUUUUUCAUACGUAAAUAAUUUUACAUAAUAUAGUAAUACAUAUCAAUACAGUAAUUGGUAUGUAUUUCUGUAUUGGACAGUGCCUAUUAGUCGCUAUGUGAUGCAUUGAGUUAUGUCCAGGUAACCAUUUUA